UUUUUUUUUUUUUUUUUUCAGUUUCUCUUGUGGGUAAUUACCUUUAAAGAAACCCACUAAGAGAAAUGAUGUUUAUGGAAAAUUAUUUGUAAGCUAUAUCUUUUUCAACUCUUUUAAGUAGUAUUCUUAAACUUUUACCAUCAGAAGGCUAUGAACUCAAACUACUUUAUCUUACAUAUAUUAUAAAAAAAAGUAUAAAAUAAGAAGGAAUGACUUUUUGACCAUUGUGAUGUAUGGAAAAGGACUGAACUUCUAUUUUACAAAUUGAUCAUAUUAAGUCAUAAAAGUUCAGUUCCCCAGCCAAGUUCUGCUGAGGAAUCCCUUCAACCAGACUUACCAAUCUGCUGAAGAAACCUAAAAGAGACAUCAAUUCUACUAAUGAAGAUCUAUCUAUACAAAUAAAAAUCACUAGCUAUAAAAAGAAAAUCAGCAGCUCAAAAAGGAGAGUAAGGUGAACAAGCUGUGCAAAUGGUACUCAAUGAGGAGAAAUAACGCAAGAAACAGGAGAGGUAACUGAAAUUUUCUAGUUUUGUUUUCCGUUAUAUUUGAGGGGUAUUGUGGCAAUAAACAAGAAUAUACUACCAUGGAAAAGGAGCAAUUAACAAUAAGACAACGAAAAAUGGUUGUACUAAUCUAAACACUCCCCCGGUACAUGAAAUUCAGGUUUUCUCUGUAAUUCAGGUGUUACUAUUUUUAAACUCAGUUAAUCUGCAAAGCAAUGAAUUAAAUCCAGUUAUUUUUAUUUUUAAUUCUUAGAUGCUUAGUUUUCAGAUGUUUGUUGUUGGCAGAAAGCAAAGGUAAGAUUGAGAGUAUGCGGAAAUUCUUUACUGAGAGAAGUUCUGUGCACAGAAGGAGUCUGGCAGACAUUCCUGGCUCCUGACCAGUGAAUACCAGUAGUGCUUUCUCAAUUGUGGUGAUAACUUAAAAAGGACUCUAACAUUUCCAAUAUGUCCCUUGGGGGAAUAGAGGAGAGAAUGGAGGAGAAGCAGUACUAGCCACACACAAAAGAGGAAAAUAUUUAAACAUAGAAAAUAAAACUAAGAUCUCUAGAUGAAAAUACAGGAUUAACAAAAUCUUGCAGUAGAGAUUUCCUUUCUAAGCAUGACACUAAGACCAGAAAUCAUAAAAGACUAACAUAUCUGACUAAACUAGAAUAUAGACAUGAUAAAUUGAGAAAAAAUAUUUUUAAUUUAUAGUAGGGACUAUUGAUUUUUUUCUUUUAAAGGCUGCAUUUGUGGCACAUGGAAGUUCCCAGGCUAGGGGUCGAAUCAGAGCUAUAGCUGCUGGCCUACACCGCCACCACAGCAACUCGGAAUUCAAGUCCCAUCAGCAAUGUACACCACAGCUCAGGGCAACGCUGGAUUCCUGACCCACUGGGGGAGGCCGGGGAUCAAACCUGUGUCCUCAUGGGUACUAGUCAGAUUUGUUUCUGCUGUGCCACUACAGGAACUCCACUAGUAAAUAUUCUUGAUACAAAAAUUAAUUAAUAAAAUAAAAGGAAACUGUCCAAAAGAAAUGAACAGAAAAUUCACUAAAGAAAAAAUUCAUGUUAACAAUAGGGUUAUUUUAGCACUUACUAUGUGCCAAGUACAACAGGUACAAAGUAAUUGCCUUACAUGAAUUUCAUUAUUAGGAGAGGAUACAGAAUUCCUCAACCAUUAGAUUUCAUGUCAUUUUAAUGGUAAGAUCAAUUAGCUUGCCAAAGUUAAACAGCAUGUCCGUGAUGGAGGGUAGUAUUCAAGCUCUAAUUCCAGAACUCAGAGUUUUAUCAUUUUAUCAAUAACAAUGAUAUCAAUUUUAUCAAAUAUUUUAUCAAACAUUGUUAUCAAUAACAGUUCUACUGCUACAGCUAUAUUUAUUUCAUGGAAUAAAUAAAGCACAUGGAUGUCUGUAAAAGACAAAAAAUAUACUUAUUAUUUGUAACUGAGUAAAAAAUAAUCUAAAUAACUACCAAUGAGGAAUUUAUUUACUAAAAUAUGAUAUAACCAUACCAUAUAGUAUUCGGGAAUUACAGAGUAAGGGAAAUCUAUGUAGUAAUAUGGGAAGACUUUAGCAAGACUUUUAUAAAAGCCACUUGCAAAACAGACUUGCAACAUGAGCUCAUGUUAUUUUUAUUAUUUAGAAUAUUAAUAAAAACAUCUCUAUUUUGGGAAAAAAGAAGGAAAGACUACAUUCAUCAAAUUGUUUCCUAUAUAAACUCAUAGCUUUUAUAAUAUUGGUAAAAUGUCUUAUGCUCUUUCUCACUUUUAAUUUAUACCGGAAAUUUUUAAUGUUAUUCCUAAUGAUAGCAGGAAAUAACUAAUUUAUUCUCACCUUCAUAAAAUCAACCAACAAUGUUAUAGAUUGCUAAGAGAUUAUGUAGAGUUCUCAGUAUUUAAACCAGCCACUUUCUUUAUUGGUUUUCUCUAAAAAUUAUAUUAAGCUAUUUCAAGAUAGAGUACUUUUUAAAAAAGCAGUUAAGCAAUACGUAUAAAAAUUUUAAAAUUUCAACCUCUUUGAUCUAGCUAUUAUAUUUUUUAUUUAAAAGAAAUUGUGACCAAAGAUUUUAUUUCAUCAAUGUAAUAAGAACACUAGUAAAAUAAAAAAAUUAAAUCAGUAACAGAAGCUAUUUGAAUAAGUCAUGGAACAAAUACACAAUAUUGUACAGCUACUUAAAAUAAUAGUCUAGAAGAAAAUUAAAUAAUCUGGAAAGAUGUCCACAAUAUAUUGUUAAUGAAAAAAAUUUCAAGUAAAGGGGCAUAUACCAUAUGAACUCACCUAAAAAACAGAUGUCCCUAAAGAGAACGAUCUGGAAGGAUAAGCACUGAAAUGAUUAUCUCUGGAUGUUGCAGUUACAUCUGUUUUCCUAGUUUUUUUUUUUUUUUUUUUUUUUUGUCUUUUUGCCAUUUCUUUAGCCGCUCCCUCGGCAAAUGGAGAUUCCCAGAAAAGGCAAAAAAAGACUAAAUAAAUAAAUAAAUAAAUAAAACUGUUAGAGAAAUUACUACUAAAGAGAUACUGUUGUAGAUAUAGAAUAGCUAAAUUUAGAUCUGAUAAUACAUAUUAAAAUUACAAAAAGAUAUUUCACUUUUCCAACUUCUCUGAAAAAUUUCAAACUUAAGUAACUUCCAAUCGCAGUAGCCACAGAGAAUACCCUCGACCUAGUUUAAUAACAUAUUUUUAACCGCUUGCCACAUUUGCCCUUCCCUGUUUAUGGGUAUCUGCUUGUAUGUGUGCAUAUCUGUAUACAUACAUACACUGCUUUUGCUGAACCAUUUGAGAGUUACUUGUAAAAGUCCAUGGCACUUGAUCCAUAUGUACUUCAGUAUGUAUCACCAAACAGUGACACUCUACAUAACUGCGAUGAUAUAAUUAUCAUGUUCAGGAAACUUUACACUGAUACUGCAUAUAAUUUACAAUCUGUAUUUCUUUUGCCAUUUGUCUCCAAGGCACUCUAACCUUCUGUUGGUUUUGCUGUUUUAUUGUUUUCUUUUUAAAAUUAGGAUCCAAACAAUCAUCAUUCUCUUUUCAGUUAGAGAAAUUCCCUACUUUUGUUUAGUUUUUCCACAUCACUGACAUUUUGGAAGAGUCUAGGUCAGUUGCUUUUCAGACUCUUCCUCUCAUUUCAAAUUUGUCUGAGGAUUCUACUUAGGUUACACAUUAUUGUCAGGAAUAUAACAAAAGAGGCACCUUUUCCUCUUCUGAAGUACAACAUAUUAGGAGGCACGUGAUGCGACACUGUCCUUUACUGGUGUUGUGAAAUUUAAUCAUAUAGUUAAGAUGGUAGCUGCCAGAUUUCUCCAUUUUGUAAGUAUCUUUCUUAUUAAUAAGUUAUCUGUGAAUUGAUCCAUAUAAUUUUAUUUUUAUUAAAGAAGAUAAUUAUAUUUCUAUUUUUAUUUUUUUACCCAACAAUUUUAGCAUCAACU
rnacentral:lncRNA from 1 species